rnacentral:tRNA from 1 species
GGGAAGGUGGCUCAGUGGUAGAGCGCUUGCCUUGCAUGCAUGAGGCCCUAUGCAUGAGGUUCUAUUCCCC